CGCUGGAUGCAUCCCACUGAGCCGGUCUGUUGAUGCUGGAUAGCAGGAUGCUUCAAUCAGCUUAAAAUAGAAAGCCAAUGGUGCAGGCGACUGGGCUUAAUUGCCACAAGCUUGAGGAGCACGUAAAGAAUGUGUCCAGUUGCCAUUACCGUCAGACCCUGCCCCCAAUGCAGAUUGUAUUCUAAUACUAUAUUCACACAAAUGUCUGUCUGUUUAUUGUAUUAUGAGAAAAUGCCAUGAAAGAUUUCUGGGAAAUUUCAUACUAUGAUUCAAUGUACCGUAUAUACUCGAGUAUAAGCCGACCCGAAUAUAAGCCGAGGCCCCUAAUUUUACCCCAAAAAACUGGGAAAACGUAUUGACUCGAGUAUAAGACUAGGGUGGGAAAUGCAGCAGCUACUGGU